UGACGGUAGGUGGGGGUUCUGUAUAAACACAAACUCACUUCCUUGACAUCUUCCUUCACAAUAGCUCUGCUCAGCUCCACGAAGCGCAAUAACUAUGAAUGCCCUGACUUAAUGCUGUAUGGCCACUGCAGAUGUCGGAUUGACCAUGCAGAGCCUUUUACUUGCCUCUCUCUGUCUCUCUCGCUCUCUGUCUUUGUCUUUCACUCUCUCUCUCCUCUCUCGCACUCUCUCUCCUCUCAGCAUGCUGGUAGACAAGCUCAACAUAGCGCCUGAGGAGACGGAGUGGUGGAUCGUCAACCUCAUUCGCAACGCCAGACUAGACGCCAAGAUCGACUCCAAACUGCUCCACAGGUGUUACUGUUUAUUCAGACAAGAUACUGCAUGGUAUCAGGAUGUAAAAAAAGCAGACAUUGGGCCUGUUCGACAUUGCAGCAGACAGUGCCCGACUGACUGCCGACUGAUUGAUCUACAAAAUCCCCUUGCAUCAUAAGGUCAUGUGGUGAUGGGGAACACUGUGGUGUCGCCGUACCAGCAAGUGAUUGAGAACAAGAGCCUGUCGUCCAGGAGCCAGAUGCUGGCCAUGAACAUUGACCAGGUCGCAGUUGUAAAUGAGAACUUGUUCUCAACUGGCUUACCUGGUUAAAUAAAGGUGAAAUAAAAUAAAUCAAAAUAAAUAAAUUAAAAUUGAGAAGAAAGUCGCUACUAGCAACCGGAAUGAGUUACAACACCAACCCCAUUAAGUCACCCCAUAAUUAUAAAGUGUCCAGGGCUAUUGAAAUCCUUGGGCGGGCUGCCUAAGCGUUUUUUCGGGCCACCUACGUUUUUUAUUUAUUUAUUAUAAUAACAAGUUUUUAUCUCUUAGCUCCAUGGAGAUUGUUUUCUAGAAUUACAGGAAAUUGGCUUAAAAUUGCCAAAAUGUCUCUACAUCGCCAAGAUGGGGGGCCUCUGCAUAGUUGGUAAAUGUAUAAGGUUUAAGGACUUAAUGGUGCCUGGACUAGCUGGCGAGUGGCUAUUAGCAACGGUAUAGUUGUUUCAC